CCUACGGGAGGCAGCAGUGGGGGAUAUUGGACAAUGGGGGGAACCCUGAUCCAGCGACGUCGCGUGAGUGAAGAAGUAUCUCUGUAUGUUCAGCUCUAUCAGCAGGGGAGCAGUAAUGACGGUGCGUGCGUAAGAAGCGCCGGCUAACUACGUGCCAGCAGCCGCGGUCAUACGUAGGGGGCACGCGUUAUCCGGGAUUACUGGGUGUAAAGGGAGCGUAGACGGUGAUGUAAUUCUGGAGGGAAAGUCGGGGGCCGAACCCCCGGACGGCUCUUGAAACUAUGUGACUGGAGUGCAGGAGAGGUAAGCGGAAUGCCUAGUGUAGCGGUGAAAUGCGUAGAUAUUAGGAGGAACACCAGUGGCGAAGGCGGCACACUGGACUGUAACUGACGUUGAGGCUCGAAAGCGUGGGGAGCAAACAGGAUUAGAUACCCGGGUAGUC
rnacentral:rRNA from 1 species